ACUUCUAAAGGAUAAUAGAUCAUCCAUUGACCUUAGGAGCCAAAAACUCUUGGUGCAACUCCAAGUAGAAGUU
rnacentral:tRNA from 1 species